GAUGAACGCUGGCGGCGUGCCUAAUACAUGCAAGUCGAGCGAACAGACGAGGAACUUGCUCCUUCGACGUUAGCGGCGGACGGGUGAGUAACACGUAGGUAACCUACCUAUAAGACUGGGAUAACUUCGGGAAACCGGAGCUAAUACCGGAUAAUAUUUCGAACCGCAUGGUUCGAUAGUGAAAGAUGGCUUUGCUAUCACUUAUAGAUGGACCUGCGCCGUAUUAGCUAGUUGGUAAGGUAACGGCUUACCAAGGCAACGAUACGUAGCCGACCUGAGAGGGUGAUCGGCCACACUGGAACUGAGACACGGUCCAGACUCCUACGGGAGGCAGCAGUAGGGAAUCUUCCGCAAUGGGCGAAAGCCUGACGGAGCAACGCCGCGUGAGUGAUGAAGGUCUUCGGAUCGUAAAACUCUGUUAUUAGGGAAGAACAAACGUGUAAGUAACUGUGCACGUCUUGACGGUACCUAAUCAGAAAGCCACGGCUAACUACGUG
rnacentral:rRNA from 1 species